AUUGAACGCUGGCGGCAGGCCUAACACAUGCAAGUCGGGCGAGCGGCGGACGGGUGAGUAAUGUAUGGGGACUGCCUGAUAGCGGGGGAUAACUACUGGAAACGGUGGCUAAUACCGCAUACUAUCGGAUAACCCAUAUGGGAUUAGCUAGUAGGUGGGGUAAAGGCUCACCUAGGCGACGAUCUCUAGCUGGUCUGAGAGGAUGAUCAGACACACUGGGAGUGAGACACGGUCCAGACUCCUACGGAGGCAGCAGGGGGGAAUAUUGCACAAUGGGCGCAAGCCUGAGGUAGCCAUGCCGCGUGAAUGAAGAAGGGGUUCGGGUUGUAGAGUUCUUGCGGUAUCGGGGCGUUAACUGCAGAAGAAGCGACGGCUAACUCCGUGCCAGCAGCCGCGGUAAUUC
rnacentral:rRNA from 1 species